UGACUCUCUGUGUCCCCAUGUCUCCCAUUGUCCCCAUAUGUCUGUGUCCCCAUGUCUCCCAGUGUCCCUGUGUCUCCCAGACAGUGUCUGUGUCCCCAUGUCUCCCAGUGUCCCUAUGUCUCCCAGCCAGUGUCCCUAGUGUCUCAGUGUCCCCCUGUCUCCCAGUGUCUGUGUCCCCAUGUCUCCCAGUGUCUGCGUCCCCAUGUCUCUGUGUCCCUUGUGUCUGUGACCCCAUUUCUCCCAGUGUACCCAAAUGCCUGUGUCCCCAUGUCUCCCACUGUCUCCAUGUCUCAGUGUCCCCAUGUCUGUAUCCACAAGUGCCCUCAUGUCUCCCAGUGUCCCCAAGUGUCUCAGUGCCCCCAUGUCUCCCAGUGUCCCUAAGUGUCUCAGUGUUCCUGUGUCUCAGUGUCCCUGUGUCUCUGUGUCCCCAUGUCUCUCAGUGUCCCCUAGUAUCCUAGUGAUAUGGGACACACUGAGACAUUGGGACACUGGGAGAAAUGGGCACACAGACACUGGGAGACUAGGGGACUGGGCGACAU